UGCAAAAUGGUCAUACCUUUGUAAAUGCUAGCCCUGCAUGUGCAAGGUGAUUGUGAAGGGAUGUCUCGGAAGACUUUUUGUGAUUCAGAGGAAGCCUUCCUGUGUCACUAGAUAUGCCUGGACCUUCUAUCCUCCCUGGAAGUAUUAACUGAGUCAAACUGAGCAAGGGGAAACCUCCACAUGAUCGGUUCAAGUCCACUUCUGGAAAACCAAGUGACAGUCCGCUCCUUCACUCCUCUGGGACCAACGUUAGGCUGCCUGUCCGCUCUCCAACGAGUUUAUUCUUCUCUGGAUUUAACCCCACAAACUGGACCCAAGAGCCCCCCCAAACCUGUGUAAUGGUGAUGGCUCUUGUUAGCAACGAGGAGACUGACGAGGAGGACACCUCAGUAACGAAAGCCGGCCCACCUGCUUGGAGGCCUGAAAAACUCAUAGAUGUGAUCAUAGAAAAUGCCAGGGAGGACUCGACCGAAGGUUGAUGUCUGAUCUGUGGCUGGCUCAAGUGACCAGUGAUGUUGUCAGCCUGAGAGAGGUUCCCGAGGAAAUUAUCCCCAUCUAUCUUAAAUUACUGCGGUGUGAGGCUUUUUGGGGGGUUGUACUUCAAUAAAGAAA